CACGAACGCUGGCGGCAGGCUUAACACAUGCAAGUCGAGCGCCCCGCAAGGGGAGCGGCAGACGGGUGAGUAACGCGUGGGAAUCUACCCAUCUCUACGGAAUAACGCAUGGAAACGUGUGCUAAUACCGUAUACGUCCUUCGGGAGAAAGAUUUAUCGGAGAUGGAUGAGCCCGCGUUGGAUUGGCUAGUUGGUGGGGUAAAGGCCUACCAAGGCGACGAUCAAUAGCUGGUCUGAGAGGAUGAUCAGCCACACUGGGACUGAGACACGGCCCAGACUCCUACGGGAGGCAGCAGUGGGGAAUAUUGGACAAUGGGCGCAAGCCUGAUCCAGCCAUGCCGCGUGAGUGAUGAAGGCCCUAGGGUUGUAAAGCUCUUUCACCGGUGAAGAUAAUGACGGUAACCGGAGAAGAAGCCCCGGCUAACUUCGUGCCAGCAGCCGCCGCCGUAA
rnacentral:rRNA from 1 species